UUGGGUGUGUUUGGUAAGCAGAAAUGGCGAUGCAGAUUAAACUGGACGCCGAGUUAAGGUGCCUAAGAGUUGCUAAUGGACUCAAAAGGUGUUGGUUUGUUUUGACAGCUGGGCGGUGGUCAUGGAAGUUGAAACCCGCUAAGAAGUGUGUAACAACUUACCAGUCGAACAAACCAGCCCUGAAAAAGGAUGACCC
rnacentral:rRNA from 10 species